CGCUGGCGGCGUGCCUAAUACAUGCAAGUCGAGCGAAUGGAUUAAGAGCUUGCUCUUAUGAAGUUAGCGGCGGACGGGUGAGUAACACGUGGGUAACCUAGCCCAUAAGACUGGGAUAACUCCGGGAAACCGGGGCUAAUACCGGAUAACAUUUUGAACCGCAUGGUUCGAAAUUGAAAGGCGGCNUUCGGCUGUCACUUAUGGAUGGACCCGCGUCGCAUUAGCUAGUUGGUGAGGUAACGGCUCACCAAGGCAACGAUGCGUAGCCGACCUGAGAGGGUGAUCGGCCACACUGGGACUGAGACACGGCCCAGACUCCUACGGGAGGCAGCAGUAGGGAAUCUUCCGCAAUGGACGAAAGUCUGACGGAGCAACGCCGCGUGAGUGAUGAAGGCUUUCGGGUCGUAAAACUCUGUUGUUAGGGAAGAACAAGUGCUAGUUGAAUAAGCUGGCACCUUGACGGUACCUAACCAGAAAGCCACGGCUAACUACGU
rnacentral:rRNA from 1 species